AUGUUCCGUCUCUCACACGCUUUGGAAUUGUUAGGGUUUCUGCGUUAUCAAUGAAUCGCUCUCUGCCUCUCAUUCAUUCCUCUAUGAAUCCGACUCUGAUCUUCGUGAUAAAGUUGUAUCCUGGUUCUCCGAUUGUUGUGAUCCAGUCAGUCCGAUAACCGGAUCUAAUUUGCAAUACCAAGAACCCUAAAUAUAGAAUUAACACAAGCGUUUCUUUUCAUCCUUUGCCUCCAAUUAGUUCUCUUUUUUUUCAAUUGAAAGAACCUAGAUCUCAUCUCUCUACGGUCAAAAGUAACCUGGAACCCUUGAUUGUGAGACAAUGUGACCAUCGGUUUCUAAGGUUUUUGUAUUGAUUCUUGAAGGAGUCAUCGGAACUGGCGGCACUUGAAGCAUCCAAAGGAUUCGAGAGACGAUAAUGUUCCCUGUUUCAAAUCUUUUUGAGGUGCUCAGUUUUUCUGUCGACAAGGUGGUUGUGGCGCUGACGGGAGAUCCGGGUGAGCUACUUCCGUACCAGCUUGAAGGAUUGAAUUUCUUACGUUUCUCAUGGUCUAAAGUCUAAACAAACACAUGUGAUACUUGCAGACGAAAUGGGUCUUGGGAAACGAUACAAAGUAUUGCUUUUUUGGCAUCGUUGUCUAAAGAGAAUGUCUCCCCUCAUUUAGUAGCACCGCUUUCUACAUUAAGGAAUUGGGAACAUUAAUUUGCUAUAUGGGCUGCUAAUAUGAAUGU
rnacentral:lncRNA from 1 species